rnacentral:rRNA from 1 species
AACGAACGCUGGCGGCAUGCCUAACACAUGCAAGUCGAACGAGACCUUCGGGUCUAGUGGCGCACGGGUGCGUAACGCGUGGGAACCUGCCCUUAGGUUCGGAAUAACUCCCCGAAAGGGGUGCUAAUACCGGUUAAUGUCUUCGGACCAAAGAUUUAUCGCCUUUGGAUGGGGCCGCGUUGGAUUAGCUGGUUGGUAGGGUAAAAGCCUACCAAGGCGACGAUCCAUAGCUGGUCUGAGAGGAUGAUCCGCCACACUGGGACUGAGACACGGCCCAGACUCCUACGGGAGGCAGCAGUGGGGAAUAUUGGGCAAUGGGCGAAAGCCUGAUCCAGCAAUGCCGCGUGAGUGAUGAAGGCCUUAGGGUUGUAAAGCUCUUUUACCCGGGAUGAUAAUGACAGUACCGGGAGAAUAAGCUCCGGCUAACUCCGUG